GUGGAGGUGUCGUGGAGGUGAUUGGGUUGCUGAUGGAGAUGAUGGAUGCUGAGGCUGAUGGAGGCGGCGGCGCGAUGCAGGAAGGGGAGGGGGAGGAGAGGGUCGGGAGAGGGAAGAGUAGGCGAGGCAAUAAGGAAAAGUCGACAGGUGGGUUGGUGAGCAGGUUCGUCCUUCUACCUGUGACGUGUUUUCUAAAGGUAGGGAAUCAGAGAGAGUAUCAUCAUUAGAGCGAUUUGAAGAGUGAUUUUGGUUAUAUAAAGGAGUAUAGAUAUAUUUAAGGUCUAAUUUUGGGUAGUGAAUCUUAAGAAGCAUCUUUAGUACGGGAUUGGAAAGUUUGUUUUUGUUAUGUGAAUGAUAGAGAUAUAUUUGGUCUCAUUUUAGGCUGUGAAUCGUAAAAAGCAUUGAUAUAUUAUGGGAAUUUGAAGUCUUGUUUUGGCUAUAUGAAGCAGGACAGGUGUAUUUGAAGUCUUAUUAUCGGUAGGGAAUUGUAAAAAGAAUUGAUACAUUGCGGGAAUUUGAAGUCUUGUUUUGGCUAUAUGAAGCAGGACAGGUACAUUUCAGGUCUUAAUGUUGGUUAUCUAGCACGGUGCAAAUAUGUUCUCUUUCGGUAAACAAGCUUUCAAGUGGAGAUGUUCAGAUAAUAUAAAACAAAAUUGAUAUAUCAUUUUCUAUUUGUUUUUAUAGAUUUAACGCUUUCUUUGGCAUUAACAUCUUUGUAGGAACAGUAUUUUCAGCGGAUAUUAUUUUUACUUUCGUUCGUGUUUUUUGUUUCUUUUAUCUUAUUUAUUCAUUUGUUUUUACUUUUUUUUACCUUUGAAGUAACUAGUUUGGUAGGUGCAUGGUGUUUUCACUUUCGUCCGUCCCUUGCACUGCCCUCCUUACCGAAAACAAAAGUGGGGCGGGUAAGUGUCCUGCUUGUAGGGGAGGCGAGGCUGGUUAGUAUGCAUUGCUGUGAGCGGUGCGGCGGGGAGGGUACUGAACACACACACACACACACACACACACACACACACACACACACACACACACACACAGGCAGAGAGGUGGAUGUUUAGUAUGCAUUGUGUAGGUGUAGCGGAGAGGGCACACACACACUCACAAACACGUACACGCACAUACACACUCACACACGCAGGUAAGUAUAGGUAUGUAGGUUAGCGUACUGUUCAUCACGUGACGUCAUGAAGGGAAAGUAAUGUGUUGCCCCAGGGGACUGUCAGGUGUGUUAGGUAGUCAAGGUAGAGUGUGUGGGGAGGUUAACACACACACACACACUCACACACACACACACACACACACACACACACACACACACACACACACACACUCGAACUAAAUGUAAUACGUUCAGUUUACAGCUAAUUCACAGACGCAACAAAAUGACGGUCAGUGGGACUAUAUUAAAGGUGUUGAACGUUUCCACACACACACACACACACACACACACACACACACACACACACACACACACGAACUAAAUGUAAUACGUUCAGUUUACAGCCAAUUCACAGACGCAACAAAAUGACGGUCAGUGUGACUAUAUUAAAGGUGUUGAACGUUUCCACACACACACACACACACAAAAAAAAAAAAAAAAAUACAAAUGCAAAAAUAAAAUAAAGAAAAAGUGUUAUUCGAGUUGUGUGUUGUGUUAAAAUUGCCUCCCUCAACCUCCCCCUCCCCCCCCUUUUUUUUUACAGUAUAGGAAUCAGUUCAAGGGCAAAAAAAAAAAUGAGGAAAAAAACAA